rnacentral:rRNA from 1 species
AUUGAACGCUGGCGGCAGGCCUAACACAUGCAAGUCGAGCGGGGUUUUCGGACCUAGCGGCGGACGGGUGAGUAAUGCGUAGGAAGCUACCCGAUAGAGGGGGAUACCAGUUGGAAACGACUGUUAAUACCGCAUAAUGUCUACGGACCAAAGUGUGGGACCUUCGGGCCACAUGCUAUCGGAUGCGCCUACGUGGGAUUAGCUAGUUGGUGAGGUAAUGGCUCACCAAGGCGACGAUCCCUAGCUGGUUUGAGAGGAUGAUCAGCCACACUGGAGCUGAGACACGGUCCAGAGUCCUACGGGAGGCAGCAGGGGGGAAUAUUGGGCAAGGGGCGCAAGCCUGAUCCAGCCAUGCCGCGUGUGUGAAGAAGGCCUUCGGGUUGUAAAGCACUUUCAGUAGGGAGGAAGCGUUGUGUGUUAAUAGUACACAGCGUUGACGUUACCUACAGAAGAAGCACCGGCUAACUCUGUGCCAGCCGCCGCCGUAAUAC